AUUGAACGCUGGCGGCAUGCUUUACACAUGCAAGUCGAACGGUAACAGGCCGCAAGGUGCUGACGAGUGGCGAACGGGUGAGUAAUGCAUCGGAACGUGCCCAGUCGUGGGGGAUAACUACUCGAAAGAGUAGCUAAUACCGCAUACGAUCUAUGGAUGAAAGCGGGGGACCGUAAGGCCUCGCGCGAUUGGAGCGGCCGAUGUCAGAUUAGGUAGUUGGUGGGGUAAAGGCUCACCAAGCCAACGAUCUGUAGCUGGUCUGAGAGGACGACCAGCCACACUGGGACUGAGACACGGCCCAGACUCCUACGGGAGGCAGCAGUGGGGAAUUUUGGACAAUGGGCGCAAGCCUGAUCCAGCAAUGCCGCGUGCAGGAAGAAGGCCUUCGGGUUGUAGACUGCUUUUGUACGGAACGAAACGGCUCUGGUUAAUACCCGGGGCUAAUGACGGUACCGUAAGAAUAAGCACCGGCUAACUACGUG
rnacentral:rRNA from 1 species